rnacentral:rRNA from 1 species
CGCUGGCGGCGUGCCUAACACAUGCAAGUCGAACGAGAAUCGAUGGACAGAGACUUCGGUCAAAGAAAGUUGAGGAAAGUGGCGAACGGGUGAGUAACGCGUGAGGAACCUACCUUUCAGUGGGGGACAACAGUUGGAAACGACUGCUAAUACCGCAUAAUGUAUCGAGAAGGCAUCUUCUUGAUACCAAAGCUUUAUGUGCUGAAAGAUGCCGGGUCGCGUCUGAUUAGCUAGUUGGUGGGGUAACGGCUCACCAAGGCGACGAUCAGUAGCCGGUCUGAGAGGAUGAACGGCCACAUUGGGACUGAGAUACGGCCCAGACUCCUACGGGAGGCAGCAGUGGGGGAUAUUGGGCAAUGGGCGAAAGCCUGACCCAGCGACGCCGCGUGAAGGAAGAAGGCCUUCGGGUUGUAAACUUCUUUUACCAGGGACGAAGAACGUGACGGUACCUGGAGAAAAAGCAACGGCUAACUACGUG